AACGAACGCUGGCGGCAGGCCUAACACAUGCAAGUCGAGCGGACCCUUCGGGGUUAGCGGCGGACGGGUGAGUAACGCGUGGGAAUAUGCCCUUCUCUACGGAAUAGUCCUGGGAAACUGGGGGUAAUACCGUAUACGCCCUUUGGGGGAAAGAUUUAUCGGGGAAGGAUUAGCCCGCGUUGGAUUAGGUAGUUGGUGGGGUAAUGGCCUACCAAGCCGACGAUCCAUAGCUGGUUUGAGAGGAUGAUCAGCCACACUGGGACUGAGACACGGCCCAGACUCCUACGGGAGGCAGCAGUGGGGAAUCUUAGACAAUGGGGGCAACCCUGAUCUAGCCAUGCCGCGCGAGUGAUGAAGGCCUUAGGGUUGUAAAGCUCUUUCAGCUGGGAAGAUAAUGACGGUACCAGCAGAAGAAGCCCCGGCUAACUCCGUG
rnacentral:rRNA from 1 species